GCCAAUCAGAGCAGAAUCGGAAAAUCUUUUUAAUGAUAAACAUGGCUCUUCUACAGAGAUUUGUUGACAAAGUAAAGCAAAUUUACUUAGUUUAUGAAUUACGUACUGCAAUUUCGAUGCUAGAGCCUUGGGAGAAGAGACUAUUCAAUAGUGUCCUGCUGCUUUUUAUUGCUAUGUCUUGUUAUACAACAUAUAUCUUCCUUCCACAGUAUACUAGAAGUGCUAUUGCAUACUUCUCCAGUUAAUGUCAUCAAUUUGAUUGCAGAAAAUUCCAAUACUUUGCAACUUUCAUUCCUUGUAUAUAAUAGGAGUACAUAUAAUUAUCAAUUUUUAUAUGAAUAUUGCAAUGAAUUUUUCAAUUAAAUUAUUGCAAUAAAUUAUUUUCAUCUGUAAAAUGUGUUAUUUGAAUAAAUUUAAAAUAACAAUG